rnacentral:lncRNA from 1 species
GCACUGCUUCAUUGCCUACACAAAAUUGCUGCUGCAAUUGACUAGGGUGACAGGAUCCAUGCCCAUUUCUAUUUCAGUUUGCCCUAUACUCAUACUUUUUUCUUUUUUCCUCCCUGUUCCUUCAGCGAGCAAAUUGGGUGAUAAGGGAUUGCAUGUUCCAACAAAUGAACAUGAAGUGCUGACUCCUUGAAUUCAUCACAUCUUCCGUGAAGAACAACAUUCUCCUCUCAUGCAGUGCUUACAGUAAUGCUCAGACUCCUGAGGGCACCUGGGGACCACUGGCAUUGGACACUGUUGGCAGAGGGAGCAGCACUGCGAUCUCCUACUUACUGCUUCAGCUGAGGUUGGGGAGACUGAGUUAGAGGCCACUUCCAUAUGAUCUCAUCUCCACAGCAAACUUGGUGAGAGCUCAGUUCUUCUGCUCCCCAAAAACCCAGUCCUUAGCAGUCAACUUGGAGAAAAAGCUGCCCUUGCAGCCCAGAUCCCUGGCCACUUCUUGGACUAUUACGGCUGUCAGCUGGGGGUCCAGCUCUGCUCCUUGCUCAUCUCUCUCAAGAGGACUGCUGAAGUCUCCUCUUCACUCAAACGCGAUCGCUACUCAUUUGAUGGCAAAACUCCUUUUGACUUCAGUGGCACAGUAUCAAGCUUGAUGUGCCCAGUGGACUGCGGAAACCUUGGACAAGUAUGCACAGGAGAAAAGAGCCAAUUGUAACAUUAGCUAUGGAAAUAAAAACCUUCCAACAAGACA